rnacentral:rRNA from 1 species
GAUGAACGCUGGCGGCGUGCCUAAUACAUGCAAGUCGAGCGAACGGACGAGAAGCUUGCUUCUCUCACGUUAGCGGCGGACGGGUGAGUCACACGUGGAAAACCUCCCUAUAUGACUGGGAUAAUUUCGGGAAACCGGCGCUUAUACCGGAUAAUCUUUUGCACCGCAUGGUUCAAAAGAGAAAGUCGGUGUUGCUGUCACUUAUAGAUGGAUCCGCGCUGCAUUGGCUAGUUGGUAAGGUCACGGGUUACCAAGGGAACGAUGCAUAGCCGACCUGUGAGGGUGAUCGGCCACACGGGAAGGUAGACACGGUCCAUGCGCCUACGGGAGGGAGCAGUAGGGAAUCUGCCGCAGUAGGCGAGAGCCUGACGGAGCAACGCGGCGUGAGUGAUGGAGGUCUUCGGAUCGUAAAGCUCUGUUAUUAGGGAAGAACAUAUUUGUAAGUAACUGUGCAGAUCGUGACGGUACCUAAUCAGAAAGCCACGGCUAACUACGUG